UACGUAGGGGGCAAGCGUUGUCCGGAUUUAUUGGGCGUAAAGAGCGUGUAGGCGGCUGGGUAGGUCCGUUGUGAAAACUCGAGGCUCAACCUCGAGACGCCGAUGGAAACCCUCCAGCUAGAGUCCGGAAGAGGAGAGUGGAAUUCCUGGUGUAGCGGUGAAAUGCGCAGAUAUCAGGAAGAACACCCGUGGCUAAGGCGGCUCUCUAGUACGGUACUGACGCUGAGACGCGAAAGCGUGGGGAGCGAGCAGG
rnacentral:rRNA from 1 species